CCGGCGCACGGGUGAGUAACACGUAUCCAACCUGCCGUCUACUCUUGGACAGCCUUCUGAAAGGAAGAUUAAUACAAGAUGGCAUCAUGAGUUCACAUGUUCACAUGAUUAAAGGUAUUCCGGUAGACGAUGGGGAUGCGUUCCAUUAGAUAGUAGGCGGGGUAACGGCCCACCUAGUCUUCGAUGGAUAGGGGUUCUGAGAGGAAGGUCCCCCACAUUGGAACUGAGACACGGUCCAA
rnacentral:rRNA from 1 species